ensembl:lncRNA
GCUGUCUCAUUAUUUAAAAUUUAUAACUAUUUUUGAAUGUGCAGAGUGAUUAGCUAUUUGUAACACUAUUCCGAUGUAGCAUUGUAAUUUGAAAAUAAAAAAACAAGUUAGGAUUUAGGUGGGAUGGAAAAAUUAUAUUUUAUUGAUCAAAAUAUAUUCUUUUAAACAAGAAGUCUUAGUACAAUUGGGCCUUUUAAAAUUUUAUUUUGGAAAUAAUAUAUUUCAACAAUAUAUAUUAAAACUAGAGGUUCUCUGGUAGCCAGCGUACUAACUAGUUAAUGUUAAAAUGCUAUUUUUGCUAUUCCUUCUCUUGGAAACAUUUUCCCACACUAUGUGAGCAAUGUGUUUUAAGAUUUAGUGGGCUCAACCCUCAAAUUCAGCAAAUGCUCCUCUUGCUUUUUGAAAGGAAAAACUUACCUGUGAUAGACAUAUUAUUUUGCUCUUCAGAAUACUAAAAUUAUAUUAAUCAAUAAACACUUUAGAAAGUGGUUCUGGUAAGGAGUUAUCAGUUAUCGGACUUAACUGAAAAAAAAAUUCAACCUCUUAGUUUCUUAUAUAGGGAUUAAAGAAAAUAACUUUAUUUCUUCCUUUGGGAUUUUGAUUAUUUUUCUUGGGUAACUUUUAAAGUAAUUAUAGUAGUUUCCACACUUUUUCCAAAAUUAUGGCAUGUUACAGUAAAUCUUACUGUUAAAGGUCUUUCACAUUUUAGACUGGUUUUUUCCUAUUCUGCUUUGUACUGCUUUCUGUGAUUCGUAAAUACCGUCACCAAAAAGGUUUUGUGGUUGCUUACUGUUUAUUUUGUAGUUAGCUCUACAUAAGGAAACUGUUAGAGACCGAUAUGGCUGGUCUGUUCUCUUCAGAAACUCCUAACAGGUCUGGCUUUCCUUGCCCUGGCUGUUUUCUUUUGUAGACUAGAAUGACAAAUUCAGCAAAAAGUAAUCAGAGACCUAGCCAGACAGUCAUUUUCUGUCAGAUGCCUUGCUGUACGUAGAAGUGAAUCCAUUAAGACAGGAAAAUAUCAAACGCAUAUGAUUUGUCUCUUAUGUCACUUUUUCUGGGACUCAGAUUAAAUCGGAGCAUUUCGGUGUUACCAUGGAGGGUGACAGUGACUUGAAUGCUUAUAUAUGCGCGUCGUCAAUUCAGAGGAGGAUUCUGAAAAUUCGGAAUUGUUAAAAAACUUGCAAAUCGUGCUGCUACUUAAACAUCUAAGGAAUUCACAAAAGUUGUGUCGUUAUCAUAAAUGUUCCUUCUCAUUUAUUCUACUGGAAUUGACAAAAAGAUUAUUAAGCCUUAUUUAUAUCUAAUUAUUGACUGCAAACUGUGACUCUGAAUAUUUGUAUGCCAAAAAAAGGUUUUAAAGUUGAGAGUUUUAGACGUAAUAAAGAUGUGUAAAUACUUUUGAUUAGUAUUUUCAUUAUAAUGAAGUUACUGUUAAUUUGGUGCAAUAUAUUCUUCCCUUCCUCAUCCUUUUAAAAUUAAAUAUAUAAGAUGUAUGUUUUGUUUUGUUACAUUGAAAGCUGUUUGGAAAUUUUUCAGUGUGUGUAUAUGAGUUACUGUUUGCUUUGUUUCUGUAUAGCGUGAUUGAAGAUGAUAACUGAAAAUUUUGCACCCUUUUUAGUCCUUUGGAAAUUUGUAUUCUAACAGUUUUUAAGAAUGUGCAUUUAUUUUGUACAUAAUAAAUAGCUUUGUAUAUGAAAAUGGGCUGGAAUCAAAUUAAAAAAAUGCUGUUCCUUUCCUCGGUUGGUUUGUGAGUCUCAGCUCACGGCGUCUGGUGAGAACUCGGCCUUCGCCGAGUGAGUGGGCAGGGGCCUGAGUGCAGUGCUUGCUGAGCAGCUAAUGCAUUACUGCUGCUUCUCAAGUGAGCAGAGCCGCUUCUGUAGCCUUCUGUGCACAAGAUAAACGUCAUGCUAAUUGACCAAUUUUUGUCAUAUGUAACAACAGAUAUUAAGCCUUUCGUUUUAAAGCCACCUCAGAAACAUGGCUACAUUUUUUCCCCAGGAAAUGAUCAUACGCCAGAAAUCUUCAUUUGUAGUUUAUCAAAUAAUACAUUAGGUUGAGGUUUUUAAAAAACUUUUAUUUCCUUUCAUAAUUAAAAUCUUUUAUUCAUCAAUUUUUGAUUAAUGUCUAAAUGUUGACCUAAUCCUUCUGUUUCUGUUAAAGUUAAUAGAACCUAAUCCAUGAUAAGACAGAAUCCAAGCUCUGUUGGAUUCUUGCUAUGUAGUACUUUUGUCUCCAGAUCCAGUAAAGCAAGACAACAGAAAUGAACAUUAACCUUUUUCUAGUCUGGUACCAUUUGUGCACUAUUCUACCUCUACUGAAGACACUUGGCUAGAAUUGGAAACCUCUGCAUUCAUUCAUCUGGUGAGAUUUGUCAGUCACAGGACAAUGAAAGCCAGGGCCCUUACAGGCUUAAUUAAGACUGCCUUGGAGAAAGCCAAAUACCAUCUGACUUCACUCAUGUGGAAGAUAGAAGAGCAAAAUCAGCAAACACAUAGAUAGAAUAUAUUGUUAGAUUGGGGGAGGGUGAAAGGGGUAAAUGGGUCAUUUAUACAAUGAUGGAUGGAAACCAGACUUUUGAUGGUGAGCACCAGUCUAUACAGAAAUCGAAAUAGAAUGAUGUACACCUGGAAUUCAUACAAUGUUAUAAACCAGUGUUGCCUCAAUUGAAAAAAAAGACCACUUUGCUUUUGUGAAAUAAGUCCAUAACACCAUAUCAAGCAUCAAAUAAAUGUAUUUGUUUUACACAAUAUGCUGAAGCUUAUAAUUUCU